GGACGAACGCUGGCGGCGUGCCUAACACAUGCAAGUCGAACGGAGUUAAUGAUUUCGGUUGUUAACUUAGUGGCGAACGGGUGAGUAACGCGUGAACAACCUGACCCAAAGAGGGGGAUAACAUUUGGAAACAGAUGCUAAUACCGCAUAAGACCACAACGUCACAUGGCGAAGGGGUCAAAGGAGCAAUCCGCUUUGGAGGGGUUCGCGUCCCAUUAGGUAGUAGGCGGGGUAACAGCCCACCUAGCCAACGAUGGGUAGCCGAGCUGAGAGGCUGAUCGGCCACACUGGAACUGAGACACGGUCCAGACUCCUGCGGGAGGCAGCAGUGGGGAAUAUUGGGCAAUGGGCGCAAGCCUGACCCAGCAACGCCGCGUGAGGGAAGAAGGUUUUCGGAUUGUAAACCUCUGUCGCAGAAGACGAAGGAAGUGACGGUAUUCUGUGAGGAAGCCCCGGCUAACUACGUGCCAGCCGCGGC
rnacentral:rRNA from 1 species